GGAGGAAAAGAAACCAACUGGGAUUACCUUAGUAACGGCGAGUGAAGCGGUAAAAGCUCAAAUUUGAAAUCUGGUACUUUCAGUGCCCGAGUUGUAAUUUGUAGAAUUUGUCUUUGAUUAGGUCCUUGUCUAUGUUCCUUGGAACAGGACGUCAUAGAGGGUGAGAAUCCCGUUUGGCGAGGAUACCUUUUCUCUGUAAGACUUUUUCGAAGAGUCGAGUUGUUUGGGAAUGCAGCUCAAAGUGGGUGGUAAAUUCCAUCUAAAGCUAAAUAUUGGCGAGAGACCGAUAGCGAACAAGUACAGUGAUGGAAAGAUGAAAAGAACUUUGAAAAGAGAGUGAAAAAGUACGUGAAAUUGUUGAAAGGGAAGGGCAUUUGAUCAGACAUGGUGUUUUUUGCAUGCACUCGCCUCUCGUGGGCUUGGGCCUCUCAAAAAUUUCACUGGGCCAACAUCAAUUCUGGCAGCAGGAUAAAUCAUUAAGAAUGUAGCUACUUCGGUAGUGUUAUAGCUUUUUGGAAUACUGUUAGCCGGGAUUGAGGACUGCGCUUCGGCAAGGAUGUUGGCAUAAUGGUUAAAUGCCGCCCGUCUUG
rnacentral:rRNA from 1 species